rnacentral:rRNA from 1 species
AACGAACGCUGGCGGCAUGCCUAACACAUGCAAGUCGAACGAGACCUUCGGGUCUAGUGGCGCACGGGUGCGUAACGCGUGGGAACCUGCCCUUAGGUUCGGAAUAACUCCCCGAAAGGGGUGCUAAUACCGGAUAAUGUCUUCGGACCAAAGAUUUAUCGCCUUUGGAUGGGCCCGCGUUGGAUUAGCUAGUUGGUAGGGUAAAAGCCUACCAAGGCGACGAUCCAUAGCUGGUCUGAGAGGAUGAUCAGCCACACUGGGACUGCGACACGGCCCAGACUCCUACGGGAGGCAGCAGUGGGGAAUAUUGGACACUGGGCGAAAGCCUGAUCCAGCAAUGCCGCGUGAGUGAUGAAGGCCUUAGGGUUGUAAAGCUCUUUUACCCGGGACGAUAAUGACAGUACCGGGAGAAUAAGCUCCGGCUAACUCCGUG